rnacentral:rRNA from 1 species
GAUGAACGCUGGCGGCGUGCCUAAUACAUGCAAGUCGAGCGAACAGACGCGGAGCUUGCUCCUUUCACGUUAGCGGCAGGCGGGUGUGUCACACGUGGAUAACCUCCCUCUCAUACUGGGAUAACUUCGGGACUCCGGCGCUAACUCCGGAUAAUAUCUUCAACGGCAUGGUGCAAUAGUGAUAUUCGGUUUUGCUGUCACUUCUAGAUGGAUCCGCGCCGCAUUAGCUAGUUGGUAAGGUAACGGCUUACCAAGGCGCCGAUGCGUAGCCGACGUGAGAGGGUGAUCGGCCACACUGGAACUGAGACACGGUCCAGACUCCGACGGGAGGCAGCAGUAGGGAAUCUUCCGAAAUGGGCGAAAGCCUGACGGAGCAACGCCGCGUGGGUGAAGAAGGUCUGCGGAUCGGAAAACUCUGUUAGUAGGGAAGAACAAAUGUGUAAGUAACGAUGCGCGUUUUGACGGUACCUAAACAGAAAGCCCCGGCUAACUACGUG